GUGAAUGCGGCUGAUCGAUGCAGCCAGUGGGAUACAGUAUGCUGGUGUGCCUGAUUAAAGCGAUCGCUGGGCGAUCAUGUCGUUGUCCCUUUUGACGCGUGGAUCGCGGGGGCAGAUUUAAUCAGCUGAUCCUUCAGUGCGUCCACAUUUUCGGGGAAAUUAUAUUUUCACUCACUGGAGAAUUUUAAAUACGAUGGCGAUGCGGUAGAAAUGGAAAGGAAAGAGCAGACGAAAGGAAAGCGAAAAUCAAAAUUUGCUGUGUUUGAUAAACCUGUUUGUGCAUGAAUUCCGGUGGCGUGGGGAGCCGAGCUUUCAGAUUCACCGUCCGGCGGGCGUCGACAAACCGCAGCGGACGAAGCGGCGGUGCCGUGGACAGCAUCUCACGGGCGCGUAAGAACGCCAACGCCAUGGACAGCGCCGUGGCCUCCUUGUCCUGCAUUUCCUUGAUCACGUCCAGGGGUCCCACCGGCAUCCCGGGGGAUUUGACGGCGUUGAACAGCGCGGCGGUGGUGUCGGCUGGGAUGACCUCCGAGGCGCUAGCGGUCAACGGACCGCCCGCGGGAGCCGACAGGGCACUUUCGGCGGGAGAGGACAGGGAACCACCGCCAGGAGAGGUCAGGGGACCGCCCACGGGAGCCGACAGGGAGCCUCCGGCUGGAGCGGACAGGUGACCGCUGACGGGAACCGGAAGGGAACCUCCCAGGGGAGCAGACAGGGAGCCGAUGAAGGGAGCACCGAGAGCGGGCAUGGGGCCGAAUCCUGGAGAAGCGGUGGCGCUUAGGGAACCACCUACUGCGGCGGCCGGCGCGAUGGUGGCGUCCGACGCCGGGGGUGCAGAGAAGUUGGCCAUGUUCCAGCUGCGCAGACGGUUCUCCAAGGCGGCACUGGUGGCGGGAAGUUGGACGAGGAAGGGAUCUGCGGGGCGGAUGGGCGGGUCGCUAGGAACGGGGACAGUGACGGUCGAGGGCAACGGGGGCGUAGUGUCCGAAAUGUCGCACGCAGUACGCACCAAUAACACCGACAAGAUCCAUAGGCAGAGGAUCAAUAGGAGCUAAAGGGGCCAGCUCCUGGACGACCUCCGGCUUCUGCGGGUGCGCCACCGGCGUCGGCGCCUCCGCCUGCAGCGUCUGCAUGGCGGUGGGGAACUUCCACAGACUGGCACGGGUCGGGUCGACGGCCAUCGCGGUGGGCGGGGCCGGGGGCUCCGGAUUGCCCAGCUGGUAGAGCACCCCGCUGGUCUCGGGCCCGGACGCCGGUGGUGGUCGCGCCGGUUCGAUCGGAUGGCCGGGAUGCGGGGCCGCGGCCGUGGCCUGGGCGGCGGCGGUGGGGACCGGCGGGACCGGCUGGUCGGUGGUGUCGGAUUUGGUGUGAACGUGCUGGUCGCGUGCUAAUUCCGCACAUGAGCCUACACACAGGGGAGAUUUAUUGUGCCGGGUGUAGGGUUGCCGAGUAUGUGCCGGUAAUAGUGAGCCGGUGACAAUGAAUACACUAUACGCGGCAUACGUGACACCUACUCUUGUCAAUGCUCUCGCAGCUGACGGUCUUUUCGUUGAAGUAUCUGUAAAAAUAUGUGCUGGCGGUUAUAACAUCGUACCGGUACUUUUACAGUACAAUAAUGCGGGUAUUUUUAGGUUAUUCAUGCGUCAAGGAAGUCUUCUACGUACCGUCCUGAAGGGCAAGAAAAUUCUGCACGGUCUCCAAAUGGCGAGCAAAAAUAGAUUAAAUCGUACCUCUGCAAAACAACGAUACAUCCGCGAAAAAUCCCUUUUCUCCCGGCUUACACGUAAUGGACACCACAUCUUUGCUCAACGCCGCAGCCGGCGCUGUCGUCACUUUACCGGCCAGAUUAAUUCCAGUAUCGCCAGGUGCGUCAAUCGAUCGCAGGGGCGCCGCAUCAUUCAACACGGUGUACGACGGUUCGAACUGCUGCAUUUGCGGCGCCGGUGCCGGUCGCAUCAUCUCCUGCCCAUGAUUGACCGAUGGUUGAGCGUAGACUGCCGGCGACGGCUGCUGCGGCUGUUGCUGUUGGUCCAGUCCGAGUUGAGCGUUGAGGAGAGACAGGACGUUCAUGGCGUUCAGAUGCUGUUGAGACGGUUGCUGGGGUAAGGCUUGAUGUGCCUGAUGCUGUUGUGGUUGAAGUUGCUGGUGUUGUUGCGACUGGAGGCGCUGGAUGUCCAGCAGGCUGUUGGGUGUGGCGAAGCGGCGCUGCGGGAUCUGGGCUUGCGGCACAGGAAGAACGUUGUCCCCUUGUGGAUCCAUUUUAUACCUAGAGAGAAAAAUGUAUCAAUAUAACCGUCUUAAUGCCCGAUUUAAAUCGCAACCGCCAGAAAAAAACUGCACAACUAGAAUUUAUUACGCGCAUCCUUUUGCUUUCUUGGUUAUUUGGCUUCUUGACUGUAUGUUCAAUGCCUGACUGACCAGUGCUAAAAAAUUAUACAGACAAAUCCUUAAGGUCGAAGAAUGAAGAGUC